GGCCUAGUAGACCAGCCAUGCUAGCUCCCAGGGUCAUGGUGGAUCUUGUGAUCAACCAAAAUUGCAGGAAGUCACUUGCAGGGCACUGUGUACACACCCAUACCUAUAUAUGUUUUGGACAAUAAUAGUAACCCCACUGGAGAUGGAGACAGAAAAAAAAUGUAAAGCAUCAAAAGAAGUAACUCCAUUUUAGGACCAAGCGCUGAAACCAAAGGUUAAUGGACAAAUUACUGCCGAGUUACUUCUUGGUCACCUGGGUUUUGCUGCAUCAUUUCAUCAUCAUUAGGUUGCAUCAUACACAGGAGAGGUAACAACAGUUCAAGGUCUCAUAGUUGAUGUUCGAUGUGGCAUUUGCAUCUGGGGUGGUAUUUGCAUCUCAACAAGAAGACCAGAAAUUUGCCAAUCCUUGGCCACUAUGAAGCUAAAAAGUAGU